GGAGAGAUGUCCGAGCGGCUGAAGGAGCACGCCUGGAGAGCGUGUAAGGUCUAAAAGCCUUCCAGGGUUCGAAUCCCUGUCUCUCCG
rnacentral:tRNA from 2 species